AUCCAGUCGUUCCAGAGCCAGCUUAAGAUUUUUUAUAGCCAGCCGCUUGUUAUCGGCAUCACGACGUAGCCGCUGAAGACGAUCUUCGGCUGCUUUGCGGUCCGAUUCGGUCAAGGAUGGACCAUUACGGCGAUUCGUAGGGCGUCCAAUUCCUUUCCAACAUCUCGAGCCCGAUGUCCAGCCGGAGAAGACGUCACUCCUGUUAUACUGCCGCCUUUUUUACGCCGAGGUGUCGUCGACAGGGACACCUCGAUACUGGCCAUCUGGAAUAUUCCUUUGGCAGGGUUGCGGGAUAUUCUGUCUCAGAGAUGGAUAAUCAACGGAGAUUUACGGCCCGCUUCUCCGUCGGAUGGGGUCAAGGCAGUCGUCCUGAUCCCUGGCAAAAGAUGCGCAUCUUAUGCAGUCGACGACGCGGCGCGACUACGCGACGCGGAAGAAAAUUACGAAAGUAUCGCCGUAUUGGCGGUGCUGGAAAAAAUUAAAUUUCUCAAGCCAGAAAAGA